AUAGGCCGGAUCUGGAAGCACGGUAACGUGUGGAGGUGACCGGUACUAAUAGGCCGAGGGCUUGUCCAUA
rnacentral:rRNA from 1 species